UGGGGAAUUUUGGACAAUGGGGGCAACCCUGAUCCAGCAAUGCCGCGUGUGUGAAGAAGGCCUUCGGGUUGUAAAGCACUUUUGUCCGGAAAGAAAACUUCGGGGCUAAUACCCCUGGAGGAUGACGGUACCGGAAGAAUAAGCACCGGCUAACUACGUGCCAGCAGCCGCGGUAAUACGUAGGGUGCGAGCGUUAAUCGGAAUUACUGGGCGUAAAGCGUGCGCAGGCGGUGCUGUAAGACCGAUGUGAAAUCCCCGGGCUUAACCUGGGAAAUGCAUUGGUGACUGCAGCGCUGGAGUAUGGCAGAGGGGGGUGGAAUUCCACGUGUAGCAGUGAAAUGCGUAGAGAUGUGGAGGAACACAGAUGGCGAAGGCAGCCCCCUGGGCAAAUACUGACGCUCAUGCACGAAAGCGUGGGGAGCAAACAGG
rnacentral:rRNA from 1 species